rnacentral:rRNA from 1 species
AGUUUGAUCCUGGCUCAGGAUGAACGCUAGCGACAGGCCUAACACAUGCAAGUCGAGGGGUAACAGGGGCUUCGGCCCGCUGACGACCGGCGCACGGGUGAGUAACGCGUAUGCAACCUGCCUGUAACAGCGGGAUAGCUCCCUGAAAGGGGAAUUAACACCGCAUAAGACCACGCUCUCGCAUGGGGACGGGGUAAAAUAUUUAUAGGUUACAGAUGGGCAUGCGUGACAUUAGUUAGUUGGUGAGGUAACGGCUCACCAAGACUGCGAUGUCUAGGGGUUCUGAGAGGAAGGUCCCCCACACUGGAACUGAGACACGGUCCAGACUCCUACGGGAGGCAGCAGUGAGGAAUAUUGGUCAAUGGACGCAAGUCUGAACCAGCCAUGUCGCGUGCAGGAUGACUGCCCUAUGGGUUGUAAACUGCUUUUAUAUUGGAAGAAUUGCGCUUACGAGUUAAGCGUUUGACGGUACAUUAUGAAUAAGGAUCGGCUAACUCCGUGCCAGCAGCCGCGGUAAUACGGAGGAUCCGAGCGUUAUCCGGAUUUAUUGGGUUUAAAGGGUGCGUAGGCGGAAAUGUAAGUCAGUGGUGAAAUCCUGCAGCUUAACUGUAGAAUAGCCGUUGAAACUGUGUUUCUUGAGUACAUUUGAGGUAGGCGGAAUGUGGUGUGUAGCGGUGAAAUGCUUAGAUAUCACGAGGAACUCCUAUUGCGAAGGCAGCUUGCUGGUCCGCUACUGACGCUGAUGCUCGAAGGUGCGGGUAUCGAACAGGAUUAGAUACCCUGGUAGUCCGCACAGUAAACUAUGGACACUCGCUGUCGGCGAUAUACUGUCGGUGGCUAAGCGAAAGCAUUAAGUGUCCCACCUGGGGAGUACGCCGGCAACGAUGAAACUCAAAGGAAUUGACGGGGGCCCGCACAAGCGGAGGAACAUGUGGUUUAAUUCGAUGAUACGCGAGGAACCUUACCCGGGUUUGAAUUGCUGAAUUUGCAUUUGGAGACAUUUGCUUCCCCUUUGGGUUUCAGUGAAGGUGCUGCAUGGUUGUCGUCAGCUCGUGCCGUGAGGUGUCGGCUUAAGUGCCAUAACGAGCGCAACCCUUGCCGUUAGUUGCCAUCGGGUCAUGCCGGGCACUCUAUUGGGACUGCCAUCGUAAGAUGUGAGGAAGGUGGGGAUGACGUCAAAUCAGCACGGCCCUUAUGUCCGGGACGACACACGUGUUACAAUGGGGGGUACAGCGGGUUGCUACCUGGUGACAGGGUGCUAAUCUUUAAAACCUCUCUCAGUUCGGAUCGGAGUCUGAAACUCGACUCCGUGAAGCUGGAUUCGCUAGUAAUCGCGCAUCAGCCACGGCGCGGUGAAUACGUUCCCGGGCCUUGUACUCACCGCCCGUCA